rnacentral:rRNA from 1 species
AGAGUUUGAUCAUGGCUCAGGAUGAACGCUAGCGGCAGGCUUAACACAUGCAAGUCGAGGGGCAGCAUAAUGGAUAGCAAUAUCUAUGGUGGCGACCGGCGCACGGGUGCGUAACGCGUAUGCAACCUACCGUUUAACAGGGGGAUAACACUGAGAAAUUGGUACUAAUACCCCAUAAUAUCAUAGAAGGCAGUCUUUAUGGUUGAAAUUCCGAUGGUUAGAGAUGGGCAUGCGUU